AUUAUAAAGAUGAUUUAAAAAUAUAUGAUUUUAUUUUAUUUGAUUUUAAAUCUAUAGUAAACUGUGAGUUGUAUAUGUUUUGUUGAUAUUAUCUAUAUUGUUUAGUGUUUUAGAUUAUAUAU
rnacentral:sRNA from 1 species